GUACCAUUUUAUGCACAGACCCAUGUCUGAGAGCAGGCGAUUCUAGCGGUCUCUCCAGCGGCACAGCGCAUACCCAAACCUCCCCAGGGUGACAUCAUCCCAUAUAUGGACUCUCCAGCCCAGCCCUCCCCCUUUUCCUGGUCCUAAAUUCAUUGCCAGUUCCCCAGUCUGCAGCAAAUGUGCCACGUCAAGACUGGAAAUCACAGCCCUUGAGUGUGUCUCAGUCAGCGCAGCAGAAUUCAGGGGGGAAAGCUGAAUGCAACCCCUGGUGCAGGAAGGGAGGCUUUUCCUGAGGACCGGGAGAGGAUUUUAAGUACAUAGAAGGAAGCUUCUGGAGAUCCUGCUCCGUCGCCCCAGUGUUCAGACUACCUGUUCAGGACAAUGCCGUUGUACAGUAGUCUGCACAUUGGUUAGACUGGGCAAGGGAGAGCAACGCCAUGGACCGCUGGGGACAAAAUGGGCUGUUUCCAAGGAGAAGACAUUUGUUUGCUCCUUUUUUGAAUCUCAUAUCCAGUGUUUUUCUUCACAGGUUUUGCACACUAGGGACCAAGAAGCCCUCGGGGACACUGCUGAGAAAAGACUGCCGAAGGGAAGACCAGCGGGAGAUAUACAAAUAUUUUAGGGAUCAUGGAAUCUAUUCCAGAGGAAACUAACCAACAGUGAGCAUCUUCAACUAAAACUACCCCUGGAUGUAAUAAGUGUUGCAUGCAUCAUUCCUUUAAUUGAGCAGAGUUAACUGGAUCAAAUUAUUUAUGGGAGAGAGAGGAAAAGUUAUAAAGAAUUAUAGUAAUUUUUAAUUUCCACCAAUAUACUCUUUGUAAGUGAAUCACUCUAUAAUUACUUUCUGUUGCACUGAAUGCAGCAACAAUAACACAAUAGUAUUUUAAGGCACUGGUUUUUGGCAUACUCUAACCUUGUAAUUAUUUAAAUAACAGCCAAGUUUACUCAUGUUUUUGAUUCUGUCAAGAAAAAAAAAAAGUUCCUUUACUCGAAAGUGAUGGCCGAAACAGAAUCGGAAAUUUGUUUUCUUGAAAUUACAUAAAUACACAGAAAAUGGCACUUAUUAGCUUUUGUUAAAACAUUACCUUACCUAAUCACUGCAUAAAAGUCCAGAUUUGUAGAAAAUUGUAAUUUUCUCAGUAUCUAAAACUAUUUUGCUUUCCAUUAAGUUUCUAUUUGCUAUUUUCUCAGAAUUUUACAAUUAAAGAUAAAUCACAAACUGUUUGUUUUUCUUAAAGUUCUUUGAGAAAAUGUCUAAUUAUACAAUCCUUGGACAAUACUGUGUUUUUUUGGUGCUGUGUUUUUUAAGAAGUCCUACUUACUGGAAUUUUGACUAUUUGGAUAUUUUUGUUUUUAAAAGGGGAGGGGAAUUUGCUUAAUACUUCUAAAGAUGUGAAUUGAUAAUUGAUAUUAAAAUAGAAUUACUCUCAACUCACCAGAAUUAAAUUUUAUAUCUGCAUAUUUAACACUAUUAGCUCAUAUAAAUUAUAAGAAAAAUUUUCAAAGGAUCUGGUUUUAAUUUUUUGGAUAUGAAAUGAAUUUGCCUUUUCUGCCUUUUCUUAAGUACUAUUUUGUAACUAUAUUGCACUAACUAUAUCCAAAACACAUUCUGAGCAUCACUGUGAGUAACAGCCUUCCAGUUUGUACCCUUUUGAUUCACAGCAUGGCCCUAUAGUUAAUUAAGAGGUGGAUAACUUAAGCUCACAACUGCCUUUAAUUUGAUUUCACAUCCACAGUUAUAAACUUUGCAUUUAAAAGGAAAAUGAGACAUUUAAAUAGGUUCCUGUUGUUUCACAUAUAAUUGGUAAAAACAUAUUCCCUUGUAGGAUCCUAUUAUCAGAGCAUCAAAUACCAAAGUCAGCAACUUGGGUUGCCAAAUAAAUUAGGCUCAUUAAUUAUUUUGAAAAGGGCUGCUGUUUCCAUGUAAAUGAUAAUUUUCUUUUUCAUGGACAAGGUUAUGGUACUUAUCUACUAAAAGAAACAUGCAUAAACAUAGUUUUUAUCUUUAACUUCAGUAUUAAAAUAUGCAGUUUUUUGCAAAGAGGAAAAACAUCUGGUUCAAUUACGCUGAACUCUGACUACAUGUGGGCCAGUAAUAAUAUGAAUUGGACUUAAGAAUAAACCUUGUGUUUAAUCUCUUUUUUUCCUUAAAAUUUUAAUGUGAGUUUUCUGUUACGCAAAUUAUCCAUGUUAGCACAUUUGGAACAAAUGUAUAAAUGUACUUUCUGAAUAAAGUCAAAAGUCUAACUUGUUUUUAGUUCCAUAAUGUUUUAAUGUUUAAUUAUAUUGUGUAUUUUUCUCCCUUUCCCCUUACUCUCCAAAAUCACCAAAUCUGGAAAACAGGCUGAUUGUAUCUGUCUAUGAGCAAAGGAAACCUGAAGGAACCAAGGGCCUGGCUGGACAGAGUUGUCAUGUGUCUGCCUGUCUACACUUGCUGUGCAGAACAUCCGCUCACCUGUACAGCAGGCACAGACAGGCAGUCACAUGACAACCCAGCCUGAAUGACAACCAGCCAUUGAAAGAAAGCAGCCCUCACACCAUAGCAUCUACACCAAGAGCUACAACCAAAAUGAGGGGCUCGGGGGCCUGGGGUUUUAAUCUGUUGGUUUAAUACUUAACUCAUGUAUUAUUUUAUUUUGAUUCAAGUAUUAAAACCCACCAAAAGUAAAGUGAGUGGUGCCUAUGAAAUAUAAUAAAACCCAUUUCUGAAAAUGUUCCUGUGCAUUCUAUAGUUCUCUUUUCCUAAUUGUUGUCAGCAAAUCACUACCCUUGACCUUUAUUGUACACAGCUUUGCAGCACCCUAUAUUGAUAUAAAAACUCAAUAUAACAAAACAAUAUAACUUCAGUCUGAUGCUUAACAAAGAAUAAAUUAUUCUAAGAAUUCUUGUCCAUAAACUAAGUAUGGUUUUCUAUGUCAUGAUUUUUUUUUUUUUUUUUUUUUUUUGGAAGGGGAUAGGGUGGAAAGACAGAGAAAAGAAAAGGGAGAAAAAGAGUAUUCCAAAGGAUCAAGUGCUUUGAGUUAACUCUGCCAGUCUGGGUUAACUCUGCCAGUCUGGGUCUGGGCAAAACACAGUGAAAAGACUACUAUUUCCAACUAGUGUUCAACUAUAUUAAAAUAAUAGUUUCUCCUCUUUUGACAUAUGGAAAGUUGAAAUUUUUGAUACUUCCACGCGUCAUGGUAUACAUAAAUUUAUGACUGCGUCAUUCUUUAAUUAAGAAGGUGCUUAUGCUACAGUUCUAGGAGUAGAAUUUACAAGGCCAACACAUUCACUUGCAACCUAUGCUUCCAUCACUAUAAACUUUCAAGAUCUUGAGAUGUUCAGGCAAUUCAUUUAUCUUCAGAAGCAUAAGGAAAGUGGUUAAUGCACUUGAAAUGUAUAUUUUGACACAUCUUUUGAGAAAAUAUCCAAACUUCAGUUUAUGCACUGUUAACUGGAGUGAAAUGAUAAGGGAUGGCUUUUGUCUAUGAAUACUUUAAAUACUUAAGGGUAAAAGGUGGGAAGAUGGAUAAAAUUAGAAAUGUGUCAACUUUUAUUUAGUUCAUUAACAUGUUUUAGCUUCAGUAUUUGAAAUUAAUUUUCAUCUUUCUUAGAUUCUGGUCAAGCUUAAAAAAUGUAACACAAGGCUACUCAAAACUUUUUUCACAUUUAACAAUUAAACACUUUAUGUAUGUAUUCUUAACUAAAGCAAACUAUUUUUCAUUCAGCUAUUUUAUUUUUAAAAUGAAAGUCUCAGUCUUAAAGCUAAGAUCCCAGUGAGUUUCAAAUUUUCUGACAAUGAUAUUUUAACCAAACCUGACAUUAUAGUUUCUUUAAUUAAAAAACUGAAUGAUGGGGCAAAACUACAAAGCACAAAUAUGAUUAAAGUUAAAUUUCUCUCAUUUAAACAAUCUUGUCUUAUGGCAAUAUGUCAUCUGCUAAAAUUCAUCUCUGCUUCUGCAAGAUACAUUGCACGAUGCAGAUUUUUGCCUUAAAUAAAAGUCCCAUUACUAGCAAAUAAAGUCCUAAACAAUACUUACAAAAUGUAGAAUAUAAACAGGAAGACAAUAUAAAAAUUACUCACAGAAUAUCGACAUCGUUCUACCCAAUCUUAAAUGCCUUGUACCACCUGUUGCAAAUGCUGCCUAUGAGAGUUCACGUAUGGAAUUAUUCUACUGGACCCUGCAAGGCUCAGGAGAGUGCUUGACAGCUCCCAGAAUGAGACAAUGACCUAGCCAGAACAUUAAGGAGACUACACCCGUCCUUCAGACUCCAAAGGGAAAGCUAGGACGGCAGCAGAGUCAUCCUAAGUACAUUGACAUGAUUAUAAAGAAGGAGGUUUUCAACUUUGAUGCCUACCUCCAUUUCUUCAGGACAAGCUUUCCGCAGUAAGGACGAACCAGUAUCCCUUCGAGCCGCCUUUCAUGAUGCCAAUGUUGCUGAUGUUGAAGAAGGAAGGCCAAUCCCAGAGAAAAUUAUGGAAUAGACCACGGUUCUCAUCACUGUCUUCCAAGCCUCUCUCCAUAUUUCCAGCCCCUGUCACCCUUGAUUCCCUGUUUCAGCAUUGCCUUGGUGCCCAAUUUCCAUUUCAGUGUGCUGUUGCUUUUAUAACCCCCAUUUAGCAUCCCUCUCCAGUCUGGGCUAAUGCACUUUUCUCCACGGCUUUUUAACUCUCUACUUCACAAAGAACAGACUAAUACUCAAAGUAUAGUGAUAGUAUAGUAUAGUGAUAUAGUUUAGCUAUGUCCCCACCCAAAUCUCAUCUUAACUUUUAACUCCCACAAUUCCCAUGUGUCAUGGGAGGAAACUGGUGGGAGGUAACUGAAUUAUGGGGGAAGAUCUUUCCUGCACUGUUCUCGUGAUAGUAAAUGAGUCUCACAAGACCUGAUGGAAUAAAAAUGGAAGUUUCCCUGCACAAGCUCUCUUUUUGUCUGCUGCCAUCCAUGUAAGACGUGACUUGUCUCUCUUUGCCUUCCACCAUGAUUGUGAGGCCUCCCCAGCCAUGUGGAACUGUAAGUCCAUUAAACCUCUUUUUCUUUUUCUUCCCAGUCUCGGGUAUGUCUUUAUCAGCAGCAUGAAGACAGACUAAUACAGUAUGGUUUCUACCAGUUAUAUUACAAUCAUUCAAAUGCUUUAUAAAAAUACAGAUUCCUGGGCCACCUACCAUUCCAAAUGAAUGAGAAUGUAUAUAUAUGAAACCCAAAAAUCUACAUUUAAAUAUGUUGCCAAGGUGAUUCUUAUUCACAAUGAAGCUUGAAGCCCGUGCAUGCACACAUACAAUCAAACUUUAUUUUCCAUAGAGUAAAUGAUCACAUCUAUUUAAUAGUUUUGAGUAAGAAGGAGCUGGUUAAAUUAUUUCACACUAAGACCAUUACCCACCCUACCAGGGCUUACAAGUAGCAUGCUAAUCAUACCACUCAAUGAAAAUAUACUAGUUAUUUCAUUGUAUCAGAGAUGCAGAGCAAGGGUGCUGGCAUCAGUAUGUAUAAUAAAUAAAUAUUAAAUAUGAAUCUGAGCUUUCUUAUUUUCUCGUUAAAACUACGUAUCAGUAGAUAUCUUACUAUAGUACCUGCGUUUCAAUGGAUCUUGCAUGCUCCCUGGAACAGAGAAACUAGGUUAUAAAACCCAUUGCAAUAACCCAAGUGAAAUAUGGCCAGGAUAUGAAUUAAAGCCAUGAUGUAUAAAGUUAAAAGGAAAUGAACCUACUGAAGAAAUAUCUAGGAGGUAAAAUCAACAGGAUUUAUGAGUGAAUGAGAGUGGGAUUAGUGAGGGGGAAAGACAGAAGUAGGUGAUAGUGUAGCCGGUAGCCACUAACCACAUAUGGUGGUUGAGCCCUAUUGACUAGUUUCCAUUAAGAUGUGCCAUAAGUGUUCAAAUAAACACUGAAUUUUGAAAACUUAAUACAAA
rnacentral:lncRNA from 1 species